UUCCUGGUGGCUCAAACAGUAAAGAAUCUGCCUGCAAUGCAGGAGACCCAGGUUCAAUCCCUGGGUGGGGAA
rnacentral:tRNA from 1 species